CGUACGAAACGGCAAAACUAUUGAAAAAUGGUGACGCAAAACUAUAGGGGCUAAUGUUAAUGUUAUAGAACGAUGCCAGCCAGUUACCGAA
rnacentral:ncRNA from 1 species